AUCUUCUUGAGCCGCUCGCGCUCCGUGGGGCCAGGGGCGUCGGCGCUCUGGCUGCGGAACAGCUUCUCCUCGCCAGGGCCGUUGGCGCUGACCAGCGGGCUCGGGGGCACCUGUGGAUGGGAGCAGCAUCCCGUGGGGGCACACCUUAGAAGGUCCCCACGCGGUCUGGGCGGAGCUCACCAGGGUCGUAACUCCGAAUGGAAGCACGAAUCAUCCAAAGAAACAAUGGAUACAGACUCCCCUCCCCUCCUGGAGAUGGAACCCAGGGACAGGAACAGACACACACACAUACAAGGCAAGUGUUCACAACUGAAAUGCUUCCCUAACCAGCUCUUUAUAUACAUUUUAUUUGGAGACAACGUCUUGUUAAGCUGCCCAAAGUGGCCUUGAUCCUCCUGCCUCAGCCUGCUGAAGCACCAGGAUUAACAGGCGUGUGCCACCCCUUACAGGCUCAGGCCAUAUGGAAGUAGGCAGCAGACGGUGGGGAGUGGGGGUGACAGAAACCCAAGUGGCUGACAGAA